rnacentral:rRNA from 1 species
CCUACGGGUGGCAGCAGUGGGGAAUAUUGCACAAUGGGGGAGACCCUGAUGCAGCGACGCCGCGUGAGGGAAGAAGUAUUUCGGUACUUAAAGCUCUUUCAGCAGGGAAGAAAAUGACGGUACCUGACUAAGAAGCCCCGGCUAACUACGUGCCAGCAGCCGCGGUAAUACGUAGGGGGCAAGCGUUAUCCGGAUUUACGGGGUGUAAAGGUAGCGUAUACGGGAGCGCAAGGAUGGAGGGAAAUCCCAUGGCUUAACCAUGGAACUGCUUUGGAAACUGUGCAGCUAGAGUGCAGGAGAGGUAAGCGGAAUGCCUGGUGUAGCGGUGAAAUGCGUAGAUAGUAGGAGGAACACCAGUGGCGAAGGCGGCUUACUGGACUGUAACUGACGUUGAGGCUCGAAAGCGUGGGGAGCAAACAGGAUUAGAUACCCGAGUAGUC